AAACUUCGUGCGCCAGCUCAGCACCAAGGCCCGCCGCAACUGCAGCAACAUCGGCGUCGCGCAGAUCGUCGCCGCCGCGUGGUCGGACCGCCCCGCCGCCCGCCCCAACUCCGGCGGCGGCGGCGGCGGCCGCGCCCGCGGCGUGGCCUCCUCCCACGCCGCGGCCGCAUCGGCCGCCGCCGUCGCCGCCUCCGCGGCGGCGGAGGUCAGCGCAAUCCCCAACGCUAAGGUUGCGCAGCCAUCCGCCGUCGUACAGGCCGAGCGUAAACUGCUCGGCUCCGACGCCAGCCUUGCCGUCCACGCG
rnacentral:lncRNA from 1 species